ACUGGUCGAUGAAUUCGGUGGCUAGGCACAGCACACCGUCAUCGAUGAUAAGUCCAACGACACCGAUGGCACCAUUGAGAUCGGUAACCAGGGAUCUAUGCAACGGUGCCAACAUCGUAAACUGAAAACAAAGUCGUUUGGUCGUAGAAGAGAAAGGUUCAGCCAAAUUUUGUCGGCCGUUGUAGCCUUUGGCCCCUACAAGCAUGGAGAUUAACAAAACAGUCCCUACAAAUUAGGUUUGUCAUCUUCAUGUUGAAACCCAUGACUUAAGAUUCCAGGGUCGGAAGUGUCAUAGAGUAACAAUCCCAUUGUCCACCAUGUUCUGGUAGCUUGUCGGCGACCCAAAUCGGCGUUCUAGUGUCGUCAAAGUCGUGGGCCAUAGUGUGAAACUCACCAUUGGAGGUGCCGCCUUGCUACGUCGUUAAGGUAGAAGCUUGGGUGCUCUCACAAGGAACUCACAGGCGACGGGCAAGCUUGAGUAGCCGCCUUGGAAGGCCGCCAUGGAACGACAGUGUAAAACGGCUAGUUGGCAGUGCUAGGGUUUCAACAUGAAGAUGACGACCUAUUUUGUAGAGACUGUUUUAUCAAUUUUCAUACUUGUUGUGGCCAAAAUGAAAAGAAGAAAGCAAGAAAAUGGAGGGGGAGAAAGAGGAGUUCUUCAUUGCUUUCAUUGACUCACUCUACUUUGGUAAUGUUGUGUUAUUAUUUUCAUGGGGAUGGGGUGUCAUUUGUAAAAAAAUAUAAAUUUUAAGGACCAUGCCAACCACUUUACUUUGAGACUUUUCUUCAUGUUUCGCUUCUUCUUCUUCUUCUACUUGUACGCUGAAGAAAUACCGCAGUGCUAGAGCUUAAAGAGGUAGUCCAUUGUGUGGAGCAGUGAAGCAAUUGCUGUAGUAAUUGAGUGAUAAAAGAUGGGUUUUGAGCCAUUGGAAUGGUACUGUAGGCCAGUGCCAAAUGGGAUUUGGGCAAAAGCAGUGGAUGUGCAUACACAACUUGUGCAGUUGAUUCUCUAGUCAUUUCCAUUUCUCAUUUGGUUCUUUUUGGCCUUUGCAUUUAUCGAAUAUGGCUUCUUAGAAAAAGUUCCAAAGCCAAAAGGUUUCGUUUGAGUUCGAAUUACUACAAUUAUAUUUUAGGAUUGUUGGCAGGUUACUGUACAGCUGAGCCUCUACUAAGAUUGGUGAUGGGUAUUUCUAUCUUUAACUUGGAUGGAGAGACUAGUCUUGCUCCUUUUGAGAUGGUUUCUUUGAUGAUUGAGGCUCUUGCUUGGUGCUCUGUGGUUGUAAUGAUUGGUUUGGAAACUAAAAUAUACGUC